GGACUUUUGGUGGAGGAACCAGACUGGAUGUCGGAGGUGAAGCCCGUCCCACCUUGAUGGUUCUGCCCCCUUCCAAUGAGGAGCUGCAGCAGGGGAAGGCCACGCUCGUGUGCCUGGCCAACAAGGGCUUCCCCUCAGACUGGAGUCUGGCCUGGAAGGUGGACGGCAUCAGCGGCGGCAGCUGGGAGGAGAGCAGGGGCCCUGCGGUGAUGGAGCAGGACGCUCGUUACAGCUGGAGCAGCACCCUGAGGCUCUCUGCAGGCCAGUGGACGAAGGUGGGCUCUGUGACCUGUGAGGCCACCCAGGGCUCCCAGACGCUGGUCUCAGAGACACUGAGGAGGGACCAGUGUUCCCAGGACUGAGCUGUAUCACCUGGACUCUGCUGCUGGUUUCUCCCUGCUGUUGUUUCACUUCUGAAACUGCCCUCAGUUUACACGCUAAAUGCCUUCUUUCCCUCUCUAUGAUUUUAUGUUUCAACGUUUAUUUUUCUUACCUUUUGUAUUGACAGUUUUUCUUAAAUUGAGCAAAAGAAUAAAAAUGGAAUCAAACAGUGUUUGUUGUGCAUAUCUUUCAUUUCUUAACAGGUUAACAAUUUUUGAACGGACUUUGGUAAGUUCAUCUAAAGAAUAAAAAAAAAUAGCAAUGGAAAACUUCCAAAUAAUCUUAUAUCAUCAAAAUCUGCUGUUAAAGAUGGUGAAAUGUCUCAAUCUGAUGACUGAUGUGUUGAUUUGUUAAAUCUCUGAAAAUAAUGAAGGUGGGUAAGAAAUGUGUUACAAAUAAAACGGAUGAUAUCAUCAGCAUAAAGUGAUAAAA